rnacentral:tRNA from 1 species
GUAGCUCAGUUGGAUAGAGCAUCGGCCUUCUAAGCCGAGGGUCGGGGGUUCGAACCCCUCC